rnacentral:rRNA from 1 species
AGUGAACGCUGGCGGUAGGCCUAACACAUGCAAGUCGAACGGCAGCACAGUAAGAGCUUGCUCUUACGGGUGGCGAGUGGCGGACGGGUGAGGAAUACAUCGGAAUCUACUUUUUCGUGGGGGAUAACGUAGGGGAACUUACGCUAAUACCGCAUACGACGUACGGGUGAAAGCAGGGGAUCUUCGGACCUUGCGCGAGUGAAUGAGCCGAUGUCGGAUUAGCUAGUUGGCGGGGUAAAGGCCCACCAAGGCGACGAUCCGUAGCUGGUCUGAGAGGAUGAUCAGCCACACUGGAACUGAGACACGGUCCAGACUCCUACGGGAGGCAGCAGUGGGGAAUAUUGGACAAUGGGCGCAAGCCUGAUCCAGCCAUACCGCGUGGGUGAAGAAGGCCUUCGGGUUGUAAAGCCCUUUUGUUGGGAAAGAAAAGCAGCAGGUUAAUACCCCGCUGUUCUGACGGUACCCAAAGAAUAAGCACCGGCUAACUUCGUG